AAAAAAAGAGAUUUCAGUUUUUUUUGUCUUUUCUGUUUUUCUCUUAGAGAGAGGAGAGGAGGAGGUGGAGGUGGAGGGCAAUAUGAAGAGUGACCCGUCUCCAUCAAAAAGAAAAGCAUCAGUUUAUUUCACAUAGGCUAAAUGACCCACAUGAAUAAUCCACCAUUUAUUCAUUGAAAAUGUAACAAUUAUUCCCCCUUGUCUGCAGUUUUUAGAAAGAGGAGACACAAUUGAAGAAGCGACUGAGGAGAUGAGAAAAGAAAAGAGAAAAACAUGAAGUGUAAAACCUCUGAUGUAAAAGAGAGAAGAAAACAUUUUUUUAGAAAGAGAGGAGAAGACACAAUUGAAGAAGUGACUGAGGAGAUGAGAAAAGAAAAGAGAAAAAUCAAAGUGGAGGAGAGGAGAGGAGGUGGAGGGCAACAUGAUGUGAAAACCCUCUCGUGGUAAAGAGGAGAAACAAUUAGAGUAGAAAAGAGACACGAAGAGUUGAGGAAAAAAAAACAUUCAAAAAAGAAGAGAGAGGAGGGGAGAGGAGGUGGAGGGCAUUAUAAGGAGUGAACACUUACAUAUAAAAGCCAGGAAAACUCUGGACUACCGCUUCACAAACUGCAACCACGUUAAACCAACAAAGAUUUUUCUCAUGAUCAAACUGUUCAAAAACAAGUGUUUGAAAUACAAA